UUGCUUCGGCAGCACAUUUACAAAAAUUAGAACGAUACAGAGAAGAUUAGCCUGGCCCCUGCACAAGGAUGGCACGCAAAUCUGUGAAAACCAUACAUCAUUU
ensembl:snRNA U6 U6 spliceosomal RNA